rnacentral:lncRNA from 1 species
AUGGUAAGAAUGGGGUGGGGAGGGGCACCUAACAGACACCAGAGAGAGCGAAGCCAAGAUGUUCACAGCCCAUAGGCGUCACCAGCUCCAGGUUUCCGUUUUAAGAACCACCACCUCAGGUGCGGGAAUGGUGACUGCGGGGUGGCCGGUCCAGGCCACCAGGCUGUGGUCCUACUCUAACCACCCCCACAGCCCCCUUUCCUCCUGACCACCUCCCUCUCUGGGCUUGGCUACCCUGAGGAUGGCGGAGUUGGGACUGGACGCUUAGAUUGAGGGGUAUCGCGGUAUCUGCGAGCUUUCCUCUUCCGUUGGUUCUCUGAAAUCCACGUUGGAAUUUGAAGAGGGUCAUCUCUGAAGCGGCUCCCCAUUGGAGGGCCCGCUCACGGGUCACACGGGCCUUCACGUCAUCCCUGAAACCGGAAUUGAUGUCAUCCCGGGAAUCCCAGCCAUCUCCAGAUUACGGAGAGCCACCCAUUCCUCUGCCAUCUGGUCCACCUUUCCUAAAUCCAAAGCCAUCUUUACCUUGUUUCUGCUUUCUGCAUUGCCCACAUGAAGUGACGGAGCACCCACCAGUGCGCUGCGGAGGACUCCGUGGGCAGCUCCUUCUUAGCUUCAGCAACCAUGGCCACGCGAAUUGCCGCAGGACCCUGUGCGCCGCGGGAGCUGCCUUAGGCCGGAACGUCGUAGGUAUUUAAGUCUAUUAAGCUUUGAAAUCGAGGUAUGACUCCUCUUUUGUUCUGUGUGUGUGUGUGGGUGUGUGGAUGGGUGGGUGCGUGGGGUGCUGGGAAUCAAAUUCAGGGCCCCUUGCAUGCUAGGCAGCUCUCUUCCUCUUUUUUAAAAAAACAGCUUUGCCUACUCUCGGUCUUUUGCAUAACCAUAUGAUUUUAGGGUUAGUUUACUGUUUUCUGAAGGAAAAAAAACCUGGGAGUUUGAUGGGAUGGCGCUUAAUCCUGAAAUCAUUUUAGAUAGUAUAGCCAUCUUUAAAAAAAAAUACAUAUAUAUAUAUAUUACACACACACACACA